rfam:Dipodomys ordii contig_47246, whole genome shotgun sequence.
GGGCAGGUGGCUCAGUGGUAGAGUGCUCGCCUUGCACGCCUGAGGCCCUGGGUUCGAUUCCUCAGCUCCCCA